rnacentral:lncRNA from 1 species
AGAGAGAUGAGAACUAGACUGACAAACACAAUAAUAUAAUUAAGUAGUAAACUGAAAUUCAGACACAAGAAAUUCAUCAAUAUAGAGAAUUAAGAGCAAACCAUCUUCUUCAAAAGAAAAAUUACAUAAAGAAAAAUAAAACUAGUAAUACAAAAAGAAACAAGCCUACUACUGCUUACAAAGUCCAAAAGGGAAACUUUAGAACAUUGAUCAAUGAUCAUAGAUUCGAGUAGUUUUCUUUCAUUUGCUUGAAAAUUAAAACACAGACGUGAAUAUAAAUAUAAUGGUUCAAGUUGAAGAUGGCGAGUCAUUGGAUCUGAAGGGUCUUGGCCUUACCGUCGGGGAGCGAAAACAUCUUGCAUGGUGGGGAACUUUGUUCCUUUGGUGUUGUUAUUGGCAUCACCGGUUCUCUCUCUAGGAGGUGGCCUAAUACCGAAAAUCUUAUCCAUGGUGGGGAAUUUGGUGUUGUCUGUUCUCCGGGAUGAAGAACCUGCACCACCAGAGGCACCGGUGUUAAUGUUGUUGUUGUUGUUUGAAUCAGACAUUGCUAAAACAAGAGAUAUAUGUGGUGAAGAAGUAAAGAAAAGACUAAAGGAAACGAUGAUAAUGAAAUGGAGAGGAAAUGAGCAAUUAUAACAUUGAGGAAAU